rnacentral:miRNA from 1 species
GACUGAGUAGAACUCUACUGUAUGUGUGUGUGUGUGUGUGUGUGUAUAUAUAUAUAUAUACACACACACACACACACACACAUACCAUACAUAUAUAUA